UGAUUACUCCCUCCAUCCGAAAAUACUUGUUGGAGAAAUGGAUGUAUCUAGACGUAUUUUAGUUCUACAUACAUCCAUUGUUAUCCAUUGCUUCGACAAGUAUUUUGGGACGGAGGGAGUACUAU
rfam:Triticum aestivum genome assembly, contig: Triticum_aestivum_CS42_TGACv1_scaffold_271877_3DS